rnacentral:rRNA from 1 species
UACGAAGGGGGCUAGCGUUGUUCGGAAUCACUGGGCGUAAAGGGCGCGUAGGCGGCCUGAUAAGUCGGGGGUGAAAGCCUGUGGCUCAACCACAGAAUUGCCUUCGAUACUGUUAGGCUUGAGACCGGAAGAGGUAAGUGGAACUGCGAGUGUAGAGGUGAAAUUCGUAGAUAUUCGCAAGAACACCAGUGGCGAAGGCGGCUUACUGGUCCGGUUCUGACGCUGAGGCGCGAGAGCGUGGGGAGCAAACAGG